rnacentral:rRNA from 1 species
AACGAACGCUGGCGGCAUGCCUAACACAUGCAAGUCGAACGAGACCUUCGGGUCUAGUGGCGCACGGGUGCGUAACGCGUGGGAACCUGCCCUUAGGUUCGGAAUAACUCCCCGAAAGGGGUGCUAAUACCGGAUAAUGUCUUCGGACCAAGGAUUUAUCGCCUUUGGAUGGGCCCGCGUUGGAUUAGCUAGUUGGUAGGGUAAAAGCCUACCAAGGCGACGAUCCAUAGCUGGUCUGAGAGGAUGAUCAGCCACACUGGGACUGAGACACGGCCCAGACUCCUACGGGAGGCAGCAGUGGGGAAUAUUGGACAAUGGGCGAAAGCCUGAUCCAGCAAUGCCGCGUGAGUGAUGAAGGCCUUAGGGUUGUAAAGCUCUUUUACCCGGGAUGAUAAUGACAGUACCGGGAGAAUAAGCUCCGGCUAACCCCGUG